rnacentral:rRNA from 1 species
UACGUAGGGGGCGAGCGUUGUCCGGAUUUAUUGGGCGUAAAGAGCUCGUAGGCGGCUUGGCAAGUCGGGUGUGAAACCUCCAGGCUCAACCUGGAGACGCCACUCGAUACUGCUAUGGCUAGAGUCCGGUAGGGGACCACGGAAUUCCUGGUGUAGCGGUGAAAUGCGUAGAUAUUGGGAGGAACACCAGUGGCGAAGGCGGCUCACUGGACUGGUACUGACGCUGAGGCGCGAAAGCGUGGGGAGCAAACAGG